AAUUUUCUGCAAUGGGGGCAACCCUGACCGAGCGACGCCGCGUGAGUGAAGAAGGUCUUCGGAUUGUAAAGCUCUGUUGUAAGGGAAGAACCGUACCAGUAGGGAAUGACUGGUACCUGACGGUACCUUACCAGCAAGCCACGGCUAACGACGUGACAGCAGACGCGGUAAUACGUAGGUGGCAAGCGUUAUCCGGAAUUAUUGGGCGUAAAGGGAGCGCAGGCGGCUUAUUAAGUCUGAGGUUAAAGUUCGGGGCUCAACCCCGUGAUGCCUUAGAAACGGGUAGGCUGAAGUGCAGGAGAGGUGAGUGGAAUUCCAUGUGUAGCGGUAAAAUGCGUAGAUAUAUGGAGGAACACCAGUGGCGAAGGCGGCUCACUGGCCUGUAACUGACGCUGAGGCUCGAAAGCGUGGGGAGCAAAUA
rnacentral:rRNA from 1 species